rnacentral:rRNA from 1 species
CACGUAGGGGGCAAGCGUUGACCGGAUUUAUUGGGCGUAAAGAGCUCGUAGGUGGUUCGGUAAGUCGGGUGUUAAACCCCCAGGCUCAACCUGGGGACGCCACUCGAUACUGCUGUGACUUGAGUCCGGUAGGGGAGCGUGGAAUUCCUGGUGUAGCGGUGAAAUGCGCAGAUAUCAGGAGGAACACCAGCGGCGAAGGCGGCGCUCUGGGCCGGUACUGACACUGAGGAGCGAAAGCGUGGGUAGCAAACAGG